rnacentral:rRNA from 1 species
GACGAAUGCUGGCGGCGUGCUUAACACAUGCAAGUCGAACGGUAAGGCCCUUCGGGGUACACGAGUGGCGAACGGGUGAGUAACACGUGGGUGAUGUGCCCUGCACUUCGGGAUAAGCCUGGGAAACUGGGUCUAAUACCGGAUAGGACUCCGGACUGCAUGGUCUGGGGUGGAAAGCUUUUGCGGUGUGGGAUGGGCCCGCGGCCUAUCAGCUUGUUGGUGGGGUGAUGGCCUACCAAGGCGACGACGGGUAGCCGGCCUGAGAGGGUGACCGGCCACACUGGGACUGAGAUACGGCCCAGACUCCUACGGGAGGCAGCAGUGGGGAAUAUUGCACAAUGGGCGCAAGCCUGAUGCAGCGACGCCGCGUGAGGGAUGACGGCCUUCGGGUUGUAAACCUCUUUCAGCAUCGACGAAGCGAAAGUGACGGUAGGUGCAGAAGAAGGACCGGCCAACUACGUGCCAGCAGCCGCAGUAA